GACGAACGCUGGCGGCGUGCCUAAUACAUGCAAGUCGAACAGUGGCGAACGGGUGAGUAACACGUGAGUAACCUGCCCUCCACUUUGGGAUAACUCCGAGAAAUCGGGGCUAAUACUGGAUAUGGGGGGAUGGGGUCGCGGCCUAUCAGUUUGUUGGGGAGGUAGUGGUCGUCAAGGCGUGACGGGUAGCCGGCCUGGGAGGGCGACCGGCCACACUGGGACUGAGACACGGCCCAGACGGCUACGGGGGGCAGCAGUGGGGAAUAUUGCACAAUGGGCGAAAGCCUGAUGCAGCGACGCCGGGUGGGGGAUGACGGCCUUCGGGUUGUAAACCUCUUUCAGCAAGGAAGCGGUACUUGCAGAAGAAGCGCCGGCUAACUACGUGCCAGCAGCCGCGGUAAUUC
rnacentral:rRNA from 1 species